UACGAAGGGUGCAAGCGUUACUCGGAAUUACUGGGCGUAAAGCGUGCGUAGGUGGUGAGUUAAGUCUGUCGUGAAAGCCCCGGGCUCAACCUGGGAAUGGCGAUGGAUACUGGCUCGCUAGAGUGCGGUAGAGGAGAGUGGAAUUCCCGGUGUAGCAGUGAAAUGCGUAGAGAUCGGGAGGAACAUCAGUUGCGAAGGCGGCUCUCUGGACCACAACUGACGCUGAGGGACGAAAGCUAGGGGAGCGAAAGGG
rnacentral:rRNA from 1 species